rnacentral:ncRNA from 1 species
AAAGGGUCGCGAUCUCGCGAGGGUGAGCUAACUCCAAAAACCCGUCCUCAGUUCGGAUUGCAGGCUGCAACUCGCCUGCAUGAAGCAGGAAUCGCUAGUAAUCGCCGGUCAGCCAUACGGCGGUGAAUCCGUUCCCGGGCCUUGUAUGCACCGCCCAUCACACUAUAAGAGCUGGCCAUGUUUGAAGUCAUUACCCUUAACCGUAAGGAGGGGGAUGCCUAAGGCUAGGCUUGCGACUGG